CAGAAAGGAUAUGUAGUAAGAGCAAAGACACAGAGUUGUGUGUGCAUGUGAGGAAUGUGCCCAGGGCUUUGUAUGACACAUUGCUGGAGGCAGGAGUCCAGCCAGGACUGCAGAUAUGGUACCAUGUGAACACCUGAGUGCUUCAUUGGCUUCUCUUCUAAUCUCUUCCCCAAUCUGUGCGAUAUCCUGGCCCCUUACAGUGUCCAAGACAGAGACCCCAUUCUCUGCCAGAUGGUGCUGAUGGUGCCUCCUCCCCACUCCACUGUGUGGCCUUCUAUUUCCCCAGCUCCAAGCCUGCAAGCUCCUGAAGCUGGAACCUGCUUUCCACUAUAGGCUGAAAGGGAAGUUGGGGGGUGUUCACUUUUCAUUUCCUCUGUAGACAGCACCUCACUUCCUGUCCCCCAGGCUAGAAGAAGGCUAAAAGCUCUUGGCUUUGCUCUCCCUUCCUCUGUCCUCCCCCACUGCUUUCCCAGGAAGCCUGCAGCUCUUGAUGGAGAAAGACAACAUCAAAGCUGGCAGGCUUCCCCUCCCCCUUGUUCUGCACAAGGGGACCUGUCUUCUCAGCUGCAAUCCUUUCCUAGACAUGAUAUCAUCCUUCUCUUCUAUGCCCUGCUGAGAGAGGAGUCAAAGAAGACUUAUUUCCAUUUUAAAGAUAAUAAAAUUGAGGCCCAAAGGAGUUCUUGACUUUUCUCUACUCCCCCAAGGAUCAUGCCCAGCCAGAACCAGAAUCCAGAAGCCUGU
rnacentral:lncRNA from 1 species